AACGAACGCUGGCGGCGUGCCUAACACAUGCAAGUCGAACGAGAAAGCUCUUCGGAGUGAGUAUAGUGGCGAACGGGUGAGUAAUGCAUAGGAACGUACCGAUAAGUGGGGAAUAACAGUUGGAAACGACUGCUAAUACCGCAUGUGGAGUUAUCUAAAGGUGGCCUCUUCUUGAAAGCUACCGCUUAUCGAUCGGCCUAUGUCCCAUUAGCUAGUUGGCGGGGUAAUGGCCCACCAAGGCAACGAUGGGUAGCUGGUCUGAGAGGAUGAUCAGCCACACUGGGACUGAGACACGGCCCAG
rnacentral:rRNA from 1 species